CACGUAGGGGGCGAGCGUUAUCCGGAUUCAUUGGGCGUAAAGCGCGCGCAGGCGGCCGCCUAAGCGGGACCUCUAAUCCUGGGGCUCAACCUCAGGCCGGGUCCCGGACUGGGCGGCUCGGGUGCGGUAGGGGCAGGCGGAAUUCCCGGUGUAGCGGUGGAAUGCGCAGAUAUCGGGAAGAACACCGACGGCGAAGGCAGCCUGCUGGGCCGACACCGACGCUGAGGCGCGAAAGCCGGGGGAGCGAACAGG
rnacentral:rRNA from 1 species